rnacentral:lncRNA from 1 species
UGGAGUAACAGUUUGCCUUCAGAGAUUAGUCCAAGCAGUUUCAGUCCAUUAAAACCUGCUGCUGCUGAGCCCAUCACCUUGCAAGGCGCAGACUCUGCCUGGCUUGGCAGCAAGUCCACCAUUAUCCAUGAACUGUUACUGUAAAUUAUUCAAAAAACAGGGUCUCCGAGUAGCCCUCAAGGUUUCCAGAUCACUUUAUGCCAGAUGAGAGCUGAGCAAGGUGGACACGGGUCACCCAGGCCACACUUAACUGGCCCUGGGAACUCCCUGCGAGCACUCCUGGCUUUGUAAAGGUCAUGCAUGCCACAGGGUUUCCAGGGUAAGGGGAUUUGGGACAAAUGCUUCACCCCAGUGACUCACCCACUUCCGCAGAGCGUUCCGGGUUUCCUAGCUGUGCUAUGGCAACAGCAAGUGCAACACAUUUUUGUGUGGUGUUUCAUGCAAUAACCUUUUGCUGAAGUAACUCAAAUCGCUCAAGAGACACGGGCACGCCACAGGAAAAGCAUCACAGAGCCAGCGGGAGCAGCCCACACAGCUAACAGCACGCUCUGAAAUAACGCACUUCCACGCCAACCGGCUUGCAAAGAAGCUGGCAAGAGGCACUGACAAGGACUUCUGCCACACCUCGGGUACUGAUCUGGGGCUUGUGACACCACUAACCAGGAGCUGGCAGAGGGGAAGGGCAGGGCCAGCCCAGGGCUAGUUAUGAGCCCCCAGCCAGCCCCCAGUGCCUGGGGAGCCUGGAUCGUGGAGCUGCCCGUGGCACCCCCAGCACCGCACGAGCCCAGGGCCGGGGAACGUGCCCGAGCUUCAGGGACUCACCUCGGCUGUGCCUCACACCACAGCCAAAUAACACCCAGCUCAGGAGUUCCUGUGUCAGGAGACACAGACACCUUCCUGACAACCCCUCGAAUUCUCCCUACAGAAGGAACAACUGGCAGUUUUACAGAAUGCUCCUCGGUGUCUCUCACAGACUCAUGAAGGUAUCAGAAUUGAUGGAAGAUGGAAAUGAACUAUUUGUUCUCUAAU